AAAUCAGUUGAGAUUUUUUUUAUGUGUGCACCGGUACAGUUUUGCGGAGAAGUGAAAGUUGCCAUGGAAUUUUGUCUUCUUCUAAAAACAAGUGUCUGAUACAUGUAGUUGCAGUUAGUCUUUGGAAGCUGUAGAAAUAACAAGAAAGAGGCUGACAUAGUGUUUUGGUAGGGAAAAGUUUGAAUAUGUACAUGUACAGUUGUUUGACCUGUCUUACCCUGUGGCAGUCCAAGAAGAUGUUACCAUUAUGAAAAAUGCAGGAGAACCUGAAGACAAUGGUUAGUGCAGAAGGGACAUAAAGUUAUGACAAAAGUAACAGAUAUAAAUAAG